CUGAUGCAGCGACGCCGCGUGAGGGAUGAAGGCCUUCGGGUUGUAAACCUCUUUCAGCAGGGAAGAAGCGCAAGUGACGGUACCUGCAGAAGAAGCGCCGGCUAACUACGUGCCAGCAGCCGCGGUAAUACGUAGGGCGCAAGCGUUGUCCGGAAUUAUUGGGCGUAAAGAGCUCGUAGGCGGUUUGUCGCGUCUGCUGUGAAAACUCGAGGCUCAACCUCGGGCUUGCAGUGGGUACGGGCAGACUAGAGUGCGGUAGGGGAGACUGGAAUUCCUGGUGUAGCGGUGGAAUGCGCAGAUAUCAGGAGGAACACCGAUGGCGAAGGCAGGUCUCUGGGCCGCAACUGACGCUGAGGAGCGAAAGCAUGGGGAGCGAACAGGAUUAGAUACCCUGGUAGUCCAUGCCGUAAACGUUGGGCACUAGGUGUGGGGCUCAUUCCACGAGUUCCGUGCCGCAGCAAACGCAUUAAGUGCCCCGCCUGGGGAGUACGGCCGCAAGGCUAAAACUCAAAGAAAUUGACGGGGGCCCGCACAAGCGGCGGAGCAUGCGGAUUAAUUCGAUGCAACGCGAAGAACCUUACCAAGGCUUGACAUACACCGGAAACUUCCAGAGAUGGUUGCCCCGCAAGGUCGGUGUACAGGUGGUGCAUGGUUGUCGUCAGCUCGUGUCGUGAGAUGUUGGGUUAAGUCCCGCAACGAGCGCAACCC
rnacentral:rRNA from 1 species